rnacentral:rRNA from 1 species
UACGUAGGUGACAAGCGUUAUCCGGAUUUACUGGGUUUAAAGGGUGCGCAGGCGGAUAUGUAAGUCAGUGGUGAAAUCUCCGGGCUUAACCCGGAAACUGCCGUUGAUACUAUAUAUCUUGAAUGCUGUGGAGGUAAGCAGAAUAUGUCAUGUAGCGGUGAAAUGCUUAGAGAUGACAUAGAAUACCUAUUGCGAAGGCAGCUUACUACGCAGAUAUUGACGCUCAUGCACGAAAGCGUGGGGAUCAAACAGG